rnacentral:rRNA from 1 species
UACCUGCAGCUCAAGUGGUGACCGCUAUUAUUGGGCCUAAAACGUUCGUAGCCGGUUUGGUAAAUGCCUGGGUAAAUCGUGUAGCUUAACUAUACGAAUUCCGGGUAGACUGCUAAACUUGAGACCGGGAGAAGCUAGAGGUACUCCUGGGGUAGAGGUGAAAUUCUGUAAUCCUGGGGGGACCACCAGUGGCGAAGGCGUCUAGCUAGGACGGGUCUGACGGUGAGGAACGAAGCCCUGGGGCGCAAACCGGAUUAGAUACCCGGGUAGUCCAGGGUGUAAACGCUGCUUGCUUGAUGUUAGUUGGGCUCCGAGCCCAAUUAGUGUCGGAGAGAAGUUGUUAAGCAAGCUGCCUGGGAAGUACGAUCGCAAGAUUGAAACUUAAAGGAAUUGGCGGGGGAGCACAGCAACGGGUGGAGCGUGCGGUUU